GAUGAAGAACGUAGCGAAAUGCGAUAAGUAAUGUGAAUUGCAGAAUUCAGUGAAUCAUCGAAUCUUUGAACGCACAUUGCGCCCGCCAGUAUUCUGGCGGGCAUGCCUGUUCGAGCGUCAUUGCUGCCCUCAAGCACGGCUUGUGUGUUGGGCCUCCGUCCUCCUCCCGGGGGACGGGCCCGAAAGGCAGCGGCGGCACCGCGUCCGGUCCUCGAGCGUAUGGGGCUUCGUCACCCGCUCUUGUAGGCCCGGCCGGCGCUUGCCGACACAUCAAUCUUUUUUCCAGGUUGACCUCGGAUCAGGUAGGGAUACCCGCUGAACUUAAGCAUAUCAAUAACGGAGGA
rnacentral:misc_RNA from 1 species